CUGCAUGAACUUCCGGCUACACGCCAUUCCGCUUCCCGGGGAACGCUUGGGCUGUAGUACGGGUUCCCUAUGGGACUCUGAAGCCUGAGGAUAUCCGGCGCGCAACGUUUGUUCAGCGCGGAGUUAAGCGCCCCGGCCGUAACUUAGGGGAAGUGGACCAGGCUUGCCGCUGCCCACGGCGGUCCUUUCGUUUCCACCGGAGUGGAGGGGAGCGUGCUACCAUGGCAGCCCCUGCACAGCCCAAGAAGAUCGUGGCCCCUACGGUGUCCCAGAUUAACGCGGAGUUCGUGACCCAGUUAGCGUGUAAAUACUGGGCUCCCCACAUCAAGAAGAAAUCACCUUUUGAUAUAAAGGUUAUUGAAGAUAUAUAUGAAAAAGAGAUUGUCAAAUCAAGGUUUGCUAUUAGAAAGAUAAUGCUCUUGGAAUUUAGCCAGUAUCUUGAAAAUUAUCUCUGGAUGAAUUAUUCUCCUGAGGUAUCCAGCAAGGCCUAUUUAAUGUCAAUUUGCUGUAUGGUGAAUGAGAAGUUCAGAGAAAACGUGCCUGCAUGGGAGAUUUUUAAGAAGAAGCCAGACCACUUCCCAUUCUUUUUUAAACACAUCUUGAAGGCGGCCUUAGCUGAAACUGAUGGUGAAUUUUCACUUCAUGAACAGACAGUCUUACUACUUUUUCUUGAUCAUUGCUUCAAUAGUUUGGAGGUAGACUUGAUACGGAGUCAAGUACAGCAGCUUAUCUCCCUCCCAAUGUGGAUGGGCUUACAGCUGGCACGAUUGGAAUUAGAAUUAAAAAAGACACCUAAGCUAAGAAAAUUCUGGAACUUGAUUAAAAAGAAUGAUGAAAAGAUGGAUCCAGAAGCAAGAGAACAGGCAUAUCAAGAGAGGAGAUUUCUUUCACAACUCAUCCAGAAGUUUAUCUCUGUACUGAAGUCAGUCCCACUUUCCGAACCUGUCACUAUGGACAAAGUUCAUUACUGUGAAAGAUUCAUUGAACUUAUGAUUGAUCUAGAGGCCCUAUUACCCACAAGGCGCUGGUUUAAUACCAUCCUGGAUGACUCCCACCUUCUGGUUCACUGUUACCUUUCCAAUCUUGUUCGUAGAGAAGAGGAUGGCCAUCUUUUUUCCCAGCUUUUGGACAUGCUUAAAUUCUAUACUGGUUUCGAAAUUAAUGACCAAACUGGAAAUGCUCUGACAGAGAAUGAGAUGACCACAAUUCACUAUGAUAGAAUUACAUCUCUACAGAGAGCUGCUUUUGCACAUUUUCCUGAACUCUAUGAUUUUGCCCUCUCAAACGUGGCAGAAGUAGAUACUCGGGAGUCCUUGGUCAAGUUUUUUGGACCUCUUAGUUCAAACACCCUCCACCAGGUGGCAUCAUACCUCUGCUUGUUGCCAACUCUUCCUAAAAAUGAAGACACAACUUUUGAUAAAGAAUUUCUCCUAGAAUUGCUGGUAUCUCGUCAUGAACGUCGAAUUUCUCAGAUUCAGCAAUUGAACCAGAUGCCUUUGUAUCCAACCGAGAAAAUUAUAUGGGAUGAAAAUAUUGUCCCAACUGAGUACUAUUCUGGAGAAGGUUGUCUUGCUCUUCCCAAAUUGAAUUUGCAGUUUUUGACUCUUCAUGACUACCUACUAAGGAACUUUAACCUCUUCCGCUUAGAAUCAACUUAUGAAAUUCGGCAGGACAUUGAAGAUAGUGUCAGCAGAAUGAAGCCAUGGCAAUCUGAAUAUGGCGGUGUAGUGUUUGGUGGUUGGGCGCGAAUGGCUCAGCCCAUUGUGGCUUUCACUGUUGUUGAAGUGGCCAAACCCAACAUAGGUGAAAACUGGCCAACCCGAGUUCGUGCAGAUGUUACCAUAAAUCUGAAUGUCAGAGAUCACAUCAAAGAUGAAUGGGAAGGUCUUCGUAAGCAUGAUGUAUGCUUUUUAAUUACUGUACGUCCCACAAAACCUUACGGCACUAAGUUUGACCGGAGGAGACCUUUUAUUGAGCAGGUUGGCCUGGUUUAUGUCAGAGGCUGUGAAAUUCAGGGCAUGCUGGAUGACAAAGGACGUGUCAUUGAAGAUGGACCUGAACCCAGACCCAAUCUUAGAGGAGAAUCAAGGACAUUUAGAGUGUUUUUGGAUCCAAACCAGUAUCAACAAGAUAUGACCAAUACUAUACAGAAUGGAGCAGAGGAUGUGUAUGAAACUUUUAAUAUAAUAAUGAGGAGAAAACCAAAGGAAAAUAACUUUAAGGCUGUGCUGGAGACUAUUCGGAACCUGAUGAAUACUGAUUGUGUGGUACCUGACUGGCUGCAUGAUAUCAUUUUAGGUUAUGGGGACCCAAGUAGCGCACAUUAUUCAAAAAUGCCCAAUCAGAUUGCCACUCUUGAUUUCAAUGAUACAUUUCUCUCCAUUGAGCAUUUAAAAGCCAGCUUCCCUGGUCAUAAUGUUAAAGUAACUGUAGAAGACCCUGCUCUACAAAUACCCCCUUUCAGGAUAACUUUUCCAGUAAGAAGUGGAAAAGGGAAGAAAAGGAAAGAUGCGGAUGUGGAAGAUGAAGACACCGAGGAGGCAAAAACCUUAAUUGUUGAGCCCCAUGUUAUUCCUAAUAGGGGUCCUUAUCCUUAUAAUCAACCCAAACGUAAUACGAUUCAGUUCACUCAUACACAGAUAGAAGCCAUCCGUGCUGGAAUGCAGCCUGGGCUGACUAUGGUUGUGGGCCCACCUGGUACAGGCAAAACAGAUGUGGCAGUUCAGAUCAUAUCUAACAUCUACCACAAUUUCCCAGAACAGAGGACUCUAAUUGUUACUCAUUCCAAUCAGGCUCUUAACCAGUUGUUUGAGAAAAUCAUGGCAUUAGACAUCGAUGAGCGUCACCUACUGCGUCUUGGUCAUGGAGAAGAAGAGCUGGAGACAGAGAAAGAUUUCAGCAGGUAUGGAAGAGUUAAUUAUGUUCUGGCUCGAAGAAUAGAACUUUUAGAAGAAGUCAAACGAUUGCAAAAGAGUCUAGGGGUUCCAGGAGAUGCCUCAUAUACCUGUGAAACUGCAGGCUAUUUCUUCUUAUACCAGGUAAUGUCUCGUUGGGAAGAGUAUAUCAGCAAAGUGAAAAAUAAAGGUAGUACAUUGCCAGAUGUUACAGAAGUCUCCACUUUCUUCCCUUUCCAUGAAUACUUUGCAAAUGCUCCUCAACCUAUUUUUAAAGGAAGAUCUUACGAAGAAGACAUGGAAAUUGCCGAAGGAUGUUUCAGGCAUAUUAAGAAAAUCUUUACUCAGCUUGAGGAAUUCAGAGCCUCUGAAUUGCUUCGAAGUGGACUGGACAGAUCUAAAUACCUUCUAGUGAAAGAAGCCAAAAUUAUUGCUAUGACCUGUACUCAUGCUGCCUUAAAACGACAUGACUUGGUCAAGUUAGGUUUCAAGUAUGACAACAUUUUGAUGGAAGAGGCUGCUCAGAUUCUGGAGAUAGAGACUUUUAUCCCUCUUCUUCUACAGAAUCCUCAGGAUGGAUUUAGCCGACUAAAACGAUGGAUUAUGAUUGGCGAUCAUCACCAGUUACCUCCAGUUAUUAAGAACAUGGCCUUUCAAAAGUACUCAAACAUGGAGCAGUCUCUCUUCACUCGCUUUGUUCGCGUUGGAGUUCCAACUGUGGACCUUGAUGCUCAAGGGAGAGCCAGAGCAAGCUUGUGCAACCUCUACAACUGGCGAUACAAGAAUCUAGGAAACUUACCCCAUGUGCAGCUUUUGCCAGAGUUUAGUACAGCAAAUGCUGGCUUACUGUAUGACUUCCAGCUCAUUAAUGUUGAAGAUUUUCAAGGAGUGGGAGAAUCUGAACCUAAUCCUUACUUCUAUCAGAAUCUUGGAGAGGCAGAAUACGUAGUAGCACUUUUUAUGUACAUGUGUUUACUUGGUUAUCCUGCUGACAAAAUCAGUAUUCUAACAACGUAUAAUGGCCAAAAGCAUCUUAUUCGCGACAUCAUCAAUAGACGAUGUGGAAACAAUCCAUUGAUUGGAAGACCAAACAAGGUGACAACUGUUGAUAGAUUUCAAGGUCAACAGAAUGAUUAUAUUCUUCUUUCUCUGGUACGAACCAGGGCAGUGGGCCAUCUGAGGGAUGUCCGUCGCUUGGUAGUGGCCAUGUCUAGAGCCAGACUUGGACUUUAUAUCUUCGCCAGAGUAUCCCUCUUUCAAAACUGUUUUGAACUGACUCCAGCUUUCAGUCAGCUCACAGCUCGACCCCUUCAUUUGCAUAUAAUUCCAACAGAACCUUUCCCAACCACUCGAAAGAAUGGAGAGAGACCAUCUCAUGAAGUACAAAUAAUAAAAAAUAUGCCCCAGAUGGCAAACUUUGUAUACAACAUGUACAUGCAUUUGAUACAGACUACACAUCAUUAUCAUCAGACUUUAUUACAACUACCACCUGCUAUGGUAGAAGAAGGUGAGGAAGUUCAAAAUCAAGAAACAGAAUUGGAAACAGAAGAAGAGGCUAUGACUGUUCAAGUUGACAUCAUACCCAGUCCAACAGACACCAGCUGCAGUCAAGAAACUCCAGCCUUUCAAACUGACACCACUCCUAGUCAGACUGAGACCACCGCCAGUGAGACAGGAGCCAGUUCCAAUCCAGAAGCCAUCCCUGCUUUAUCUGAGACCACCACUACUGUGGCAGGAGCUGUAUCUGCACCUGCAGAGGCUUACACACCUCAGGAUGCCACAUCUGCCCCAGAAGGGACCAAGUAGCCAAACUGUAGUCCUAAAGGAGGACAUGUCAUUCAAAAAGUCUGAGUAAAGUUAUUUUCUGUAUUUUAUAUUUGCUUCUGCCAUUUUACUGUCACUAAUUAAUGUUCGGUUCUUAUAUAAACUGGUUUUGGUGUCUUGAAUAUAUUUUUUUAAAUUAUGUGUAUGAACAAUUCUAGUUUCAUUUGUUCAAUCAGAAGAGUAAAUAACCAUUCCUCAUGUUUUGAUCACUGAGUGUAUCUGUAAUCAUACCUACAUUAAAAUCAUUUUCUGUAGAAUAUAUAAUAUAUACUGCACAUUUUUAGUGAACUUCUCUAAAGAAGAGGACAGAAUACACCAGACUUAACCAUGAAUACGCUUAAGUGUCCAAAUUGGGAAGGAACUUGUUUCUUCUGUUAUACUAUCAAAUGCUUAAAUGCUGUUUCCUUUUUUCUUACUGUUCUUUACAUAAAGUAAUAUCUUUAUGUAAAGAUACUACUGGCAGUAAGAUACAGGUUUACUCUGAUCUAUCAGAGUGGUCACAUGCAUUUCCUUCUCUCAAAUCUUAGAAUCACCUAAGAUGUCUGUUUAUUCUUGAGGCACACCUCAGACUGAAUGAGUCAGAAUCUCAGGAUUAGAGCCCAGGAAUCUAUAUUUUAGGAGGUUCUCCACACCACUAAUGUUUGGGUUGCUGGCAGAGUGGCAUCAGCCAAGGCUGGUGAGGCUGAGCCAGGAUUUGUCAUCAGCUAAAUAGGAAGACUCUGCCAAAUCAAUCUGGGCAAGAAGCAGGAUCCUGAGUCUGGGCAAUGAGAGUCAGAGAACUUAACUCCUGUGUGCAGGGUAGAAUUUUCCUAUGGCAGAAAUUCUGUUUUCUGCCUUAUUUUUCUUGGGAUAAUCAGCCACAAGGAGACCUUCAGGUUAAAUGUGGUUCAAAUAUGGGAAAGCAGAGGUACUUAGGACCUUGCUACUCAAGUAUGAUUUGUGAACCAACAGCAUCAACAUCGUAUUGAAGUUUGGUAUUUAUAGAAAUGCAGAAGUUUGCUGCCCAAACCUAUUAAAUCUAAAUCUACAUUGCAACAAAGUCCCCAGGUGAUUCACAGGCACUUUGUAGUUUGAGAAGCGUGUACUAAGAUUACUGUGUUGUCUUCACAUGAAUGAGGCUAUAAUGGUAGAAUUACCAGUGAAUGUGACUAAUGUUUUCUGACAAAGGACCUCUGCUUAUAAGGUCCCUGGGCAUGGUGCCCAGAACUGGGGAAAAAAAAAAAAAAGAAAUGUUUAUGUGUAUGUGUAGAGGGGAAAAUUGCCCACUAGUUCUCUGUUUCCCAGUUUGAUCAUCUGCUAGAGUAUCUAAAGGGGAGCAUUUCCCCCAAAGUGUCUCCUCUAGUGCAUCUACCUAUGGGCCUGGCCAUGUCCAAGGAAUCUUUGAAGAAACAAGCAAGAACUGCACACUUAUCAUUGAAAUCCUUCUGGUCCUGACAUUUUGAAGGAAUGAUUGCUUCAUAAGGAAGUAAAACCCAGAAAGUCAAGUCAGUUAUAUUUUUGAGUAACUAGUGUUUGCUCAGCUCUACCAGGCUGUGUUGAGUAUGGUCCAGACUCUCAUUUUAUGAUGUGUCCUACUGCAUCAGGACACUUGUGUCAGUGUCAGGUGAGGAGGGGAGAUGAGAGUGAUGAGGCGAUGAGAGGAGUGAAAUACCAAGGACACGAUACUAGGAAACCCAGGUCUAUUUGUUAUCAGAGUAAGGAUCAAGCCAGAUAGCCUGUUAUGUAAUUGCACUUUUAAAAGAUUUUGAAAGCAGGUGCUGUGGGCAUCUGUAUGCACUCAUAGAAUUAUUUUCAUUUGUAACUGUAUGGUAUCAGGCCAAGCAAGGGAAAGAAGCUUUACUGUAUUACCAUCUUUCCUGGAAAAGACUGAUUUUUCUCUCUCCCUUAGGGGAUAUGAGGUAUGAUACCUGCAACCAAAAUAAGUGGACUGUUAAGCUGCUCUCUCAGCUAUUUUCCAAGCAAUGUACAUCACUCUUGCCUAGAUGAGUGACCAUACUUUUUUCCUUGCUGCUUGGUUUUUCUGUCACUAAAAAGCAAAUUUAGGUGGAAGAUGGAUGGGUAACCAGAGGGUGAAGUAACACAGCCGAAGAGGAAACCAGAAGUGAAGUGAUUUGUACAAAAUGUCGUAGUGUAAUUUAUUGAGUGUCAUGUGGUAUUAAUAGCAACAUCCUGAAAAUGCAAAUGAAUAAAAGUUUGGUCAAUGUACCAUGACAUUCCUUCGUGUGAGCCACCUAAGAAAAGGUCACUGAGCAUUCUCUGUUUACAUUUUAAUUUUAGACUCCAGAAUUUCACACACAGUUUUUCUUCUCAUUUCUUAUGCAGUAAAAGAAGAGUUCAUAUUUCCAA